UAUCUCUUCCUAUCAUUGCUCUAUCAGAAUUCGCCAAGCGUUGGAUUGUUCACCCACCAAUAGGGAACGUGAGCUGGGUUUAGACCGUCGUGAGACAGGUU
rnacentral:ncRNA from 1 species